rnacentral:lncRNA from 1 species
AUAGAACCUACUGGGGAGGGACAGAGACCCAGAGACCCAGAGGGAGACACUGACACAGAGAGAGUGAUAGAGAGAGAGAGGCAAAGUCACAGAGACAGAAAGAGGAGGGGAGAGGGAUGGAGAGAGACAAAGUCACAGAGAUAGAUGGAGGGGGAAGAAGGGAGGAGGCAGAGAGAGAGAGGAGAAAAACAGAGAGACGGUUGACAGAUUAGGAGAGGUGCUUCUGGUGCUGCUGGUUGUGCUAGGAAAAGACAUGUUUCUCUUUGGACAGAUGUGCUGCCAGUGCUGGAAGUAGGCUGACUGUGUCUCUCUCCCUGCUCUGAGCCUGGCACCAGAUUUGGCAAAACCAGACAGAGCAAAAGCUGCUUCCAGCCCACAGCACCCAAGGCUGGUCUCCUCUUUCAUCGCAGGGCUGCUAUGUACAGUUGCACAGGCUGUGCCCUGCACCAAGCACCCAGAAGAGGAUACAAGAGCCUGCCUGUGCUCCUUGAAGUAUCCCUGAGCCCUGAUGAACACCUGUGUCUACGUGGAGAGAGGGGAGCCUCUGCUCACAUGAGCAAAGGCAACAGGGGGGGACUGCAGAGGCCUGUUCCCUCCCACAGUCUCUAUUUUGCAAUAAGGACAUCAACUGGGAGUGGCCCAGAAGCCCGAAGCUGAGAGGACAAAGCUCACUGGGCCCACUCAACAUGAAGAUGACAAGGAUGAAGACCUUUAUGAUGAUCCAUUCCCACUUACUGAAUAGAUGAAGCUUCUUGGUGAUGUAACAGUCUGUGGAAACUCCCACAGGACAAAUGCAGAAAGGAAGGACCUAGAUCACUGGAUGGUCAACGUUGCCCCUUGCACAGCAGCAAAGGCCUAUACAAAUUUUUUGAGUAGCUUUAUCUAGUGGUUCAGCUACUGGGAAUAACUUGUAAAAUCCCCUGGAUAGUCAACAGCAUUGGGGCUUGCUUUGUAAACAGAGACCUGACCUACUUAAUUCUUCCCAGAGGUUGGAAAAAGAGGCUGGACUCACACAGACAUGAAACCUUGGCUUAAUUGGACACUAAUUACUCAUAAGAGAUCUGUUUACCCGAACUUCCCCUAGACCAAGCUCAGUAUAAAAUGAGAGGAUGCAUAAAGAAGCAAGAUAUUUAGAGGAAAAUGUCACAAAUACAUUUAUCAGUCCCAAAAGUCCUUUUUUUUCCCCAGAAGUGAUGUUGCUAAUUGCACAAAAAUAAACAAUACAGGGGUUGAUAAAUUCCACAUUUAAGGGCUGAGGAUAGUGUCCCUACAUUUCUAAGAAGCUGUAUAUUUGGAAAUGAAUACAAUUGAAAGUAAGGAUAAGUGGCAUUCUAAAGCCAAUUGGAUAACUUGAAUGAACAAGCAGAAUUUACCAUAUUUUGAUAUGUUUCUUUUUGAUUAAAGUAUCUGUAAAGGAAACAAAUUAUAGUAUUGCUAUAGAUUUUAUUACUGAACAAGAAAAAAAGGCUUGAUGUUGUGCAUUUCCUUUUGGCCUUUGGUCUUGGCUGAUAUUGGGCAUCCAAUGAGCUUCUUUGUCUUGAAUGAAGACUUAAGAGGGAGUGAAAAGUAGGAAGAGCAUCAAAACUUCUUUGCAGGAUGUAAUCAAACCACCUACUACUUAUUGUCUUACGAUCCAUUUAUUCAACAAAUGGAACAUCUCAAUUGCUUGAUGCUAUUACAGACACUAGGUAUAGUCUUAGAAAAACAAAUUGCUGUUUUUAUAUAGCUUGUGUUAUGGGUUGAUGUAGUACAGUCAAAAUUAUUUAAAUAAAGGAAGAUGUGAGGAAGACUUUGAACUUAGAAAUCUGGGUUCUCAUCCAAGCUUUGCUGCUAGCUUGUUGGGGGAACCUUGGGUGAUGAGUUGGUUGACUCCUUCCAGAUCUCAGCGUUCAUCCAUCAAGUGAGGGAACUUGACCAGAUAUUCAAUAAUGGCCCUUCCAGCCCCAUCUCUAUAUGAAAGGGAAACCACAGUAUGGGCCCAUGGGGAAGAUCAUGGACUUUGGAGUAAAACAUUUCUGGCUUGGUCAAUUAUUUAAUCUCUUGAUCCCGAUCAAUUCAUGUAACUACUCUGACCCUCAGUUUCCUUGCUGCAAAAUGAGAUACUAAUAUUUGCUCAAAUAAGAUAACAGGCAAAACAAUCAUGAGGGCUCCUGGCACACCACUGUGCAUGGCUUUUGCUCCCUUGGGGAGCUUAUAAAUGAAAAAAAGAUUUUACAAUGCAAAGACAGUAAGCAUUUUGUUAGUGAAGCAACAAAAUAAUUGGGCAAUUUCCUCUCAAUUGCACCAUCAACUGAUGCCCAACCUAGAAAGCAUUUGGCUAAGAAUGGAAAAGGAAUCUUUGCCCAGAUCCCUCAAUUUUGACCAUCAUGGCAUAUACAUGAAUUGGCAGACUAAAUUUAUGCUCCUUUUGAAAACUGUGUCCAUUCCAAGAAGUCAGGCUAUUUUCACCCAGCCUGGUCUAGGCAGUGGGACUCCCCAAGGCUACAAGCAGAGCCACAGUGCUCUGGGCUGGGCUGCCACACUGUCAUGCUGGGGCAAAGAUGGCAGCAGACAGCUCUCUUGGGUAACAGCAGGAAGCUCUUUUCACAAGAGUGAUCUCAUCUCUUAGGGGACUAUGGUAGAAACACAGGGCAAAAGCUAUAGGAAUGGUCCAACAUAAUAACUGUUUUUUUUUUUAAUUUUCAAAACAUGAUAAAUGAUUAAGAAUAUAAAACUGGAAUUUAGAACUUACAGAGAACUUGUAUGAAUAAAUUAAAAAGACAACCUAAUUUUAAAAUGGGCAGAAGUCUUGGGCAGGCACAUUACAAUAUAGCAGGGGUCACCAAAUUAAAGCCUCACCAGCAAAAUCCACCUCCCAUCCCAGCCUGUUUUUAUAAAUAAGCUGUGUUGGAACACAGCCAAUCCCAUUCAUUCACACAUUGCCCAUGGCUGCUUUUGCUUGACAACAGCAUAGUUGAGUAGUAGGGACAAGACCAUAUGACCUCCAAAGCCAGAGAUAUUAACUGUCAGGCCCUUUAUAGAGUGAUUCACGGAGACCCCCAUAAUAGAGGAAAAUACAAGUGGCCAAUAGCACAUAAGAAGAUGCCCAGUAUUACAGCCAAGAGGAAAAUGCAAAUUACACCCACAGUAAGAUACCAUUAUGCAUCCAUUAGAAAGGCUAAAAUUAAAAGGACUGACAACAACAAGUGUUGACAAUGGUGGGUAACAGCAAGAGCUCUCAUACACUGAUGGUUGAAGUGUAAAUUGGUUCAGUUUUGGAAAAGAGUUUGGAGGUGUCUACUACAGUUAAACAUACAUAUUUCCAUGCCCCAGAAACUCCUGGGCAUAUUCUCAAAAGAAACGAGGGCUGUGGCCACCAAGAGACAUGUGUGAGAAAGGUCCUAGCACCUUUAUAUAUCAUAGUCCCAAACAGAAAACAACACAUACCCAUCCACGUUAGGAUGAACUAAAUAAAUUGGGGCAUAUGCAUUCAAUGGAAUAGUACAUAGCAAUGAAAAAAUAAACUGUUGCCCCAUGCAAAGAUGUUUUACAGACAUAACGUUAAGCAGAAGAAAGCAGAUCUCAAGGAGCCCACAUUGUACAAUUCCGAUCUAUAUGAAGCUCAAUAACACAUGGUACUAGAAGUUGUAAUAGCAGUUACCUGUAGGACUGGAGGUUUGUAUUGAAAGAGAAGGAACAUCAGGAAGUCUGCUGGAGCCUGGAAAUGUCUGAGAUGUUGCUCUGGGAGGCAGUUGCAUGGCUGUAGACAUAUGUAAGACAUUAUUGGAUGGUAUACCUGAGAUUGGAGCACCUACAAUAGAAGGUACAGUGUUACAUCUCAGUG